rnacentral:misc_RNA from 1 species
GAAAUGCGAUAAGUAAUGUGAAUUGCAGAAUUCAGUGAAUCAUCGAAUCUUUGAACGCACAUUGCGCCCCCUGGUAUUCCGGGGGGCAUGCCUGUUCGAGCGUCAUUUCACCACUCAAGCCUCGCUUGGUAUUGGGCGACGCGGUCCGCCGCGCGCCUCAAAUCGACCGGCUGGGUCUUUCGUCCCCUCAGCGUUGUGGAAACUAUUCGCUAAAGGGUGCCGCGGGAGGCCACGUCGUAAAACAACCCCAUUUCUAAGGUUGACCUCGGAUCAGGUAGGGAUACCCGCUGAACUUAAGC